rnacentral:tRNA from 1 species
GGCGUGGUGGCUACGCGGUAAAGCGCUUGGCUUCUGAACUAGGGGUCCCGGGUUCAAAUCCCGGUAAAGACU